rnacentral:tRNA from 1 species
GAAAUAUGUAGAAACAAGAAAAAGCUUCUAACUUUAAUCUUUAGCGGUUUAAAUCCGUUUAUAUUUCU